rnacentral:misc_RNA from 1 species
AAGUCGUAACAAGGUUUCCGUAGGUGAACCUGCGGAAGGAUCAUUAACACGUAUCCAACGUUAAAACCCCCCCGUGAACCUUCAGUGUGCUCGUACGCUUUGUUAGAAAGUAGCAAUCCCUGGUAAAUCAUCGCCGAACAGUUUUGAUUCAGGGACUUCUGCGAAGAGUGUGCUUGUAGCGCGAGGCAAGUGGCCUGGCAUCCUUGUCUGAAAGUGUCAAGGGUGGCGCAGUCACGAUCGCUAGAGGCGCUCACGCCCCUUAAUAACCUUUGCAUGAAAACGGGCCUGCGCUUAAUUGUGCGGCCAUAAACCGAACAACUGUUAACAAUGGAUAUCUUGGUUCUC